rnacentral:rRNA from 1 species
GAUCCUGGCUCAGAUUGAACGCUGGCGGCAUGCUUUACACAUGCAAGUCGAACGGUAACAGGGAGCUUGCUCCGCUGACGAGUGGCGAACGGGUGAGUAAUGCAUCGGAACGUACCCAGUCGUGGGGGAUAACGUAGCGAAAGUUACGCUAAUACCGCAUACGUCCUGAGGGAGAAAGCGGGGGGACCGAAAGGCCUCGCGCGAUUGGAGCGGCCGAUGUCGGAUUAGCUAGUUGGUAGGGUAAAGGCCUACCAAGGCGACGAUCCGUAGCUGGUCUGAGAGGACGAUCAGACACACUGGGACUGAGACACGGCCCAGACUCCUACGGGAGGCAGCAGUGGGGAAUUUUGGACAAUGGGCGCAAGCCUGAUCCAGCAAUGCCGCGUGCAGGAAGAAGGCCUUCGGGUUGUAAACUGCUUUUGUACGGAACGAAAAGGUCUGGGUUAAUACCCUGGGCUCAUGACGGUACCGUAAGAAUAAGCACCGGCUAACUACGUG